rnacentral:lncRNA from 1 species
AUCCCCGAGGCGGCCCUGCGCCCGGGCGCGCCGGCUGGGGCUCUGGCGCUCUCGCAGGCCCCGAGGCCGACAGUCCCGGCGAGGGCGGGCGCCCCGCGCUCCAGCACCGGCUGCCUGAGCGCUCCUGGAGCAGCAAACCCCAGACUUCUUCCUCCUUCUCUCCUUCCUUCCUUCCCCCUCCCCUUAUCUUUUUCUUUUUUUAGUCUCUUUCUCCCUCUUUUUCUGCCCUGUGUCCUUUUUAUUUUUUCUCUACGACUGUUUUUGCAAGUUUGUUUCAAAAGUUCACAGCAUGCUUUCUUUUCUUUUAGACCGGGAGACAGUGAUCUCACCCACACGGUAAGAUCAAAAGUCUCCGCUCGCCCAGCCUGCGGGCUUGGGCUGGGUCCAGACGUCUCCCAGGAUGCAGAUGCGCCGCCGCUGGCCUCCCCGGCUAUAAAGCCGCCUCCAGCGCCUUUCCGCGCGCAGGAGCGCUCGGAGUUGUGGGGUACGGACCCCAGGCGGGGCAGGGAGUCCGAGGCGGGCUGCGGCGGGGCUCUCGGGCUGGCGGACUCGGGGGCUGAGGCGCCGUGCGCGUUGGGUGCCCGCGGCCGCAGAGGCCAGAACCGCUACUCCUCCAGGCCGGGGAGACGCGGCCGUGGAGCGUGAAACGCUUCUUGCAAGCGAGGAAACGGAAAACCUUAAGACCUUUGUUGGACCAACUGGGGAAGAAUUUCUUUCCUGCUCAGGCUGCUCAGCUGAUAGAGUGCUGGCCUGGAGCAGCUGAAAGACACUUUGCUGCUUUCUGGAGAAUGAAGCCACUGGGAAACCACAUAGGAGGGAAGAGAGAGACAGCUUCUCGAUGAUGUCAUCUGAACACCUGGAUCCUGCUGUGCCUGGACUUGCAGUCCCAUUGUCUACCAAUAUAGUUCAUUGAAUUCAACUUCAGCUGGAUGUCAUUCAUCUGCUUCCAGAACUUGUGUCUAAUGCAGAGCUGAAUGCAUACUCUCAGAGUUGGAAGUGGAUGCAAUCCACAAAUCUAGCACCCAAAUUUCUUUUUUCUGUUCUUUUUUUUUUUUAAUUUGAGAUGGAGUCUUGCUCUGUCACCCAGGCUGAAGUGUAGUGGCGCAAUCUCAGCUCACUGCAACCUCUGCCUCCCAGAUUCAAGCGAUCCUUCUGCCUCAGCCUCCCGAGUAGCUGGAAUUACAGGCGUGUGCCACCACGGCUGGCCUAAUUUUGGUAUUUUUAGUAGAGAUGGGGUUUCACCAUGUUGGCCAGGCUGAUAUCGAACUCCUGGCCUCAAGUGAUCUACCCCCCUUGGCCUCCCAAAGUGCUGGGAUUACAGGUGUGAACCACCAUGCCCGGCCUCAAAUUGCUUUUACAGAGGCAAGUGGCCACCGAGUCUGUGAUUGGGAUCCUCCUGUGGAGACCUGUGGAGACUCGUGGCUCACUACCUUUGAAGGCAGUGUUAGGGUAAUCUCUCCACAUUUCCCUGCUGAAAGCUCUGAGUGUUAGUAAAUUCCUUCUCAUAUUAGCUAAAAUGUAUUUUCCUGUGCCUUUUAUUCACUGAUGGGGAAUACAAGCAUUCUUUUUGAGGGUGGCCAAUGCUAGUAAUUCCCUCCAUACAGUCAGUGAUGGAUAGAGUUAACCCAUGGUUGCUGCAUGUAGUACUGUCACUUGCUGUACCACCAGGACUCAAGUUGAUGCUCAACGCAACAUUCUUUUGCAGGGCCCUUGUCCUCAGUUUCCCUUCUUUUGGGGUGGGCUGAGAGAGACAGCUUAUUCAGCAUGAAGCUGUAGUAUCUACAGUUUAGCAAAUGUCUGCGGAGCCUUUAAAGCAGUUUUUAUCAUAAUAAAAAUAUUUUAACUUAUAACCCCAGAAAGAGAUAGGCAUGGGAGUCUUUAUACAGCACAGAAAUCCAGAUGAGCAUAAUUUGAAAGUCAUUUGAAUUGUAAUGAGUAUUUUUAAUGUAAACAGGCAGGAGGAAAAACUUGCUGGGUUCUCUUGUAGCACAGACACCCAGAUAUAUGUCUUUUGAUAGUGAUAUUAAAGUGUCAAGGGUGCAUAGGAGGCUGCAGAUGUCAGCGGCAUGAAUGGGCAAGGCAAUUUCUGUGGUUGCAGGCUGGAGGUUCCAGCAGGAAUAGAAAGGCAAUCUCUGUGCUAGAUGGCCCAGGGUCACUGCAAGUCUAGCUCCUAAAUGAAAAUCAGGGACAAGAUGUGGCCUGUAACCACAGUCACUGCUCUUCGUAAGGCUGGUGGAAAGGUGAACUGGAAAGGUUUUUAGGGUUAGGGAGAUACAGGAACUCCCAAACAUCAGGCACCUGAUAGCACUCUCCACCUAACAUCUGCAUUUAUAUUGACCUAAUGCAUCUGUUCAAUUUGUCUCAUUCUUUGUGCUCACACACAUUUAUUUGAAACAAAACUUUCCAUCAUUACUAUAGGUGAAAAUCCUUGAUCACUUGCCUUGAAUACAAGAAACCAUUAUUAAAUGCAAGCUAGAUAAUUUUGCUUGUCUUACAGCCAUGAGCCUUAAGUCUGUUCCCCCCACCCCCCCCCC